rnacentral:RNase_P_RNA from 1 species
AAGGGUAAGGGUGAGAAGGCGGGGUAAGAGCCCACCGCGAGGGUAGCAAUACUCCUCGGCAGUACGUCUCGUGGGUUGCAAGACCAUGUAUACCGACAAUUAAGGGUUGCUCGUCCAAUGUCGGGGGGUAGGUUGCUAGAGGCGGCAAGUGAUUGUCGUCGUAGAUAAAUGAUAGAGGCCCAACUUGUUGGGUACAGAACUCGGCUUAUAACGUGUGCAAAAAA